rnacentral:lncRNA from 1 species
ACACUAAGAAUAUGACUGAUGCAAGCCUGUACUCUGCGUUAUAUACCAUAGUGUUUGAACCAUUGUGUGUGUUAUUUUCACAAGCCAUUGAUUCAAAAGGCUGUGGACUUCAGAACAGCACGUUUUGAAACUUUGAAGGCUUAACAAGAGACCCUCAAUCCACCAGAAGAGUGUGAUCUUAUGGGCACAGUUUGCAGUGCUGCUGCUUACAGCAUUUGAUGGAUAUCCAGGAGCUGGCAGAACAGCAUCAAGUUCUCGUUACCCUCUUUGUUUCUCUCCACCCUUUGGCUCUCACCAUAAUUGAAGACAACUGCUCUGGCCACUCAGCUCAGCAUCUGCAAGAUGAAGUUAUACAUCUUCCAGACGUGGCACCCGGUUGCCAGCACAUUUCUUACCCUCUGGUGUAUCCAGAGCAAUCUGGUUAUUUCAGAGCUUACGCCUGGCAUUGUUCUGUGAAAUAGAUGGGAGCUGAAGAGCACUCUCUGCCAUCACGCCAUGAUUCAGAGUACCUGCGUAUUUCUGAAACAGCAGCAGUU